rnacentral:snoRNA from 1 species
CUGCAGCCAAUUAAGCCGACUGAGUUCCUUUCCUCAUGGGGGCCCAGUGUGCAAUGGCUGCAAACAGCAGCUUCCCUGGUAGUGAUGCAGCCUGUCUGUUGUAUGGGUUGCUCUAAGGGACCUUGGAUACAGUC